AACGUAGGAGGCGAGCGUUAUCCGGAUUUACUGGGUGUAAAGCGCGUGUAGGCGGUCCUGCAAGUGGCGCGUGAAAGCGCCCGGCUCAACCGGGCGAGGACGUGACCGAACUGCGGGGCUAGAGGCAGGUAGAGGCGUGUGGAAUUCCGGGUGUAGUGGUGAAAUGCGUAGAGAUCCGGAGGAACACCAGUGGCGAAGGCGACACGCUGGGCCUGACCUGACGCUGAGAGGCGAAAGCAUGGGGAGCGAACGGGAUUAGAUACCCCGGUACGGUCCCUCGA
rnacentral:rRNA from 1 species